rnacentral:rRNA from 1 species
UGAGUCGAUCCUAAGCCAACUGUGAAAGCAGUGACAUCCCGACAAAGGGGCAUUAUAUACGCUGCACUUACACCCCCACGGCAAAGCUCUGAGAUAUAUAUAUAUCUCUCUCUCUCUGACGAUAAAGGUGUCUGGUACGGAAUAUGCGCACGCACGGUGAUCACUACAAAUACGUGUGUGAGUGUGUGCGCUUGUAUGGUUACGCUCAUAAGCGUUGUUGCUCUCUGGUAAAAGGAUAAAGCAUAAGAGAGAGAGAGAGAGACAAACACAGAGUGUGGGUGAGCGUGAGUUUGCUCUCCCAUGAGCCCCCUGCGUCUGGUUCUAUGUCUGGCGAAAGGGAAUGGGGACUUUGUUCCUUGACCGGUCCCGGCACCCUCGAUUGGCUUUGCCAAUUAAUGGUCCAUGCAAAUGGAACCAGGCCACAGCCGCUGGCAGUCGCCCGAGGAA